AUUUAUUCCUUCAUUGAAAACUUACUUUCUACUCUGUACACUGGAAAAUCAAAAAAGUAAUGUGUAACUCCGGUUUUAGAGGGAUUCUAUAAUUAUGUUUACAUUUGGGGAACUCCAUUGAUGGAUUUUAAGAGCAGUUUUUUAUUUUGCUGUACUCUAUUAAAAAAUACCACCACUUCUAAGCAGACGAUUUCAGACCUGUCUGUGCCGCAAAGCAAGUAAUUUACAUGCUCUCUCUAAUACAUGAAGGCGAUGCUACUAUUUCAUCAUCAAAAUCACAUGUGCUGGACAUUUUUAUUUUACUAGUAGUAACAAAUUUGUCCGCAUUCCUCUUAUAUUUCCCUUUUACUUGACUUUCUAGCUCUUGUUUUAGAAGUGGUGUUUGUGGUUAUGGAAAUGUUGUGGAUGAUAUUGACAAAACGCAGCCAAAUCGGGCAGAUCACUUGAGGCCAGAAGUUCAAGACCAGCCUGGCCAACAUGGUGAAACCCCGUCUCUACUAAAAAUAUAAAAAUUGGGUUAAUAGGUGCAGCAAACCACCAUGGCACAUGUAUACCUAUGUAACAAACCUGUGUGUUCUGCCCAUGUAUCCCAGA
rnacentral:lncRNA from 10 species